GUGAGGAGUAUUGCUCAAUGGGCGAAAGCCUGAAGCAGCGACGCCGCGUGAGGGAUGAAAUCCGUUAGGAUGUAAACCUCUUUUGCAGGGGAAGAAUGUUCCGGUAUAGCCGGAAUUGACGGUACCCUGCGAAUAAGCACCGGCCAACUACGUGCCAGCAGCCGCGGUAAUACGUAGGGUGCGAGCGUUGUCCGGAAUUACUGGGUGUAAAGGGUCCGUAGGCGGAUCAGUAAGUCGAUGGUGAAAUCUCCUGGCUCAACCAGGAACCUGCCGUCGAUACUAUUGAUCUUGAGUUCGAGAGAGGAUAAUAGAAUUCAUGGUGUAGCGGUGAAAUGCGUAGAGAUCAUGAAGAAUACCGGUAGCGAAGGCGGUUAUCUGGCUCGAUACUGACGCUCAGGGACGAAAGCGUGGGUAGCAAACAGGAUUAGAUACCCCGGUAGUCC
rnacentral:rRNA from 1 species